rnacentral:tRNA from 1 species
GCGCCUGUAGCUCAGCGGAUAGAGCGCCAGCCUCCGGAGCUGGAUGCGGGGGUUCGAGUCCCUCCAGGCGUA